rfam:Cricetulus griseus cell line CHO-K1, whole genome shotgun sequence.
GCCUAGGUAGCUCAGUCGGUAGAGCAUGAGACUCUUAAUCUCAGGGUUGUGGAUUCGAGCUACACGUUGGGCA